rnacentral:rRNA from 1 species
GGACGAACGCUGGCGGCGUGCUUAACACAUGCAAGUCGAGCGGUAAGGCCCUUUCGGGGGUACACGAGCGGCGAACGGGUGAGUAACACGUGGGUGACCUGCCCUUAGCUCUGGGAUAAGCCUGGGAAACUGGGUCUAAUACCGGAUAUGACUCCAUAACGCAUGUUGUGGGGUGGAAAGCCUUGUGCGGCUAGGGAGUGGGCCCGCGGCCUAUCAGCUUGUUGGUGGGGUGAUGGCCUACCAAGGCGACGACGGGUAGCCGGCCUGAGAGGGCGACCGGCCACACUGGGACUGAGACACGGCCCAGACU